UACGUAGGGUGCGAGCGUUAAUCGGAAUUACUGGGCGUAAAGCGUGCGCAGGCGGUUUGUUAAGACAGGUGUGAAAUCCCCGAGCUCAACUUGGGAAUGGCGCUUGUUACUGGCAAGCUAGAGUGUGUCAGAGGAGGUAGAAUUCCACGUGUAGCAGUGAAAUGCGUAGAGAUGUGGAGGAAUACCGAGUGGCGAAGGCAGGUCUCUGGGCUGACACUGACGCUCGAUGCACGAAGCGUGGGA
rnacentral:rRNA from 1 species